rnacentral:rRNA from 1 species
UACGGGGGGUGCAAGCGUUAAUCGGAAUUACUGGGCGUAAAGCGCGCGUAGGCGGUUUGCUCAGUCGGAUGUGAAAGCCCAGGGCUCAACCUUGGAACUGCAUACGAUACUGGCAAACUAGAGUGUGAGAGAGGAUAGUGGAAUUUCCGGUGUAGCGGUGAAAUGCGUAGAUAUCGGAAGGAACAUCAGUGGCGAAGGCGACUGUCUGGCUCAACACUGACGCUGAGGUGCGAAAGCGUGGGUAGCAAACAGGAUUAGAAACCCUAGUAGUCC